rnacentral:sRNA from 1 species
CAGGGAGCAGGGGACAGAGCUGGGAUUCGGACUGGCCUCCAGAGCAGAAACCUUCACCCCAGGCCUUCCUCUGGGUGCUGGUUCUUCUUGUCCUCCAACACCUCCGGAAAUUGGUGCUGGUGAAAUCUACUUUGUGGAACUGGUUAAAGAAGAUGGGACACUUGGAUUCAGCGUAACUGUAAGAGUUUUUAGGAGAGCUUGAAAAGCAGUUAACAAGAUGUCCGUCUAGAACCUGGUGGCCGUUCCACCCAGAUGGCAACCUCUGACAGUGUGCUUAGUUUGCACAAAUGUAAAGGGUGAAUAAAAAAACCAAUGGGGGCCUGCACUGGGGGAUGAGUUCAGAGACAAACAGAGGUACUGGGGAACCUCAGGCUGAGCAGGGCAUGCACUAGGGGACUCCAACCUCAUGAGGAGGCAGUGUAGGCAGAGUUGGGAGAUGUGUCCUGACUCUGAGGUCAAGGUGGACUGCAGAGAGAGAGAGAAGCAUAUUGGGGCUUCAGGGACACAAGCUAAAGGGUGGCAUUAACACCAGCGUGCCCUAUGGUGGUAUCUACGUGAAAUCCAUUGUUCCUGGAGGACCAGCUGCCAAGGAAGGGCAGAUCCUACAGGGUGACCGACUCCUGCAGGUGGAUGGAGUGAGUCUGUGCGGCCUCACCCACAAGCAGGCUGUGCAGUGCCUGAAGGGUCCUGGGCAGGUUGCAAGACUGGUCUUAGAGAGAAGAGGCCCCAGGAGUACACAGCAGUGUCCUUCUGCUAAUGAAAGCAUGGGAGAUGAACACAUGGCUGUUUCCUUGGUAACAGCCUUGCCUGGCAGGCCUUCGAGCUGUGUCUCGGUGACAGAUGGUCCUAAGUUUGAAGUCAAACUAAAAAAGAAUGCCAAUGGUUUGGGAUUCAGUUUCGUGCAGAUGGAGAAAGAGAGCUGCAGCCAUCUCAAAAAUGAUCUUGUGAGGAUUAAGAGGCUCUUUCCGGGGCAGCCAGCUGAGGAGAAUGGGGCCAUUGCAGCUGGUGACAUUAUCCUGGCCGUGAAUGGAAGGUCCACAGAAGGCCUCAUCUUCCAGGAGGUGCUGCAUUUACUGAGAGGGGCCCCACAGGAAGUCACGCUCCUCCUUUGCCGACCCCCUCCAGGUGCGCUGCCUGAGAUGGAGCAGGAAUGGCAGACACCUGAACUCUCAGCUGACAAAGAAUUCACCAGGGCAACAUGUACUGACUCAUGUACCAGCCCCAUCCUGGAUCAAGAGGACAGCUGGAGGGGCAGUGCCUCCCGAGAUGCAGGGGAAGGCCUGGGUCUCAGGCCAGAGUCUUCCCCAAAGGCCAUCAGAGAGGCACAAUGGGGCCAAAACAGAGAGAGACCUUGGGCCAGUUCCUUGAUACAUUCUCCUGAGUCCCACCCUCAUUUAUGCAAACUUCACCAAGAAAGGGAUGCAUCAACAUUGGCGACCUCUUUGGAAAAGGAUGUGAGGCAAAACUGCUAUUCAGUUUGUGAUAUCAUGAAACUUGGAAGUGAUAUUGUAAAUCCAACCUGCCAAAACUAAAUGCAGUUGUCAGGAGCAGAGACCUGGGGCUCCCAGCUGUGUCAUCAGGGCUAAUGGAGACAUCAAUAUGGGGCCUGAUGUUGGAGAACUGGAGACAUGAAGAGACACAAACCCCAAACUUUGUUGUGAGUUUAACCAUAAGUAAAUAGGACAACUGUAAUACCUUCAUAUUUCAAGCCUGAAAUGCCCAAUCUGCUUCUGUGAAUUUCCUCCUGAAAGGCAGAGAUGAAUUUGGUGGCCCAAGUCUUUAAAGGACAGCUGUCCAGAAAAGUUGGGCACAGUGUCUUUUCUCAGUAAACAUUCUGUAGCAAGCAG